rnacentral:rRNA from 1 species
GGGUAGUCCACGCAGUAAACGUUGUACACUAGGUGUAGCGGGUAUUGACCCCUGCUGUGCCGGAGCUAACGCAUUAAGUGUACCGCCUGGGGAGUACGGCCGCAAGGCUAAAACUCAAAGAAAUUGACGGGGGCCCGCACAAGCGGUGGAGCAUGUGGUUUAAUUCGACGCAACGCGAAGAACCUUACCCAGACUUGACAUCCUGUGAACCUCUUAGAGACAAGAGGGUGCCUUCGGGAGCACAGAGACAGGUGCUGCAUGGCUGUCGUCAGCUCGUGUCGUGAGAUGUUCGGUUAAGUCCGGCAACGAGCGCAACCCUUGUCUUCAGUUGCCAGCGCGUAAAGGCGGGAACUCUGAAGAGACUGCCCGGUUAACGGGGAGGAAGGUGGGGAUGACGUCAAGUCCUCAUGGCCCUUAUGUCUGGGGCUACACACGUGCUACAAUGGGUAUGUACAAAGGGGCAGCAAGCAUGCGAGUGCAAGCUAAUCCCUUAAAGCAUAUCCCAGUCCGGA